CAAUAGCGUAUAUUAAAGUUGUUGCGGUUAAAAGCUCGUAGUUGGAUUUCUGUGCACGCGAUUUCGUCCGCCUUUUUAAGGUGCGCACGAAUUCCUGUGCAUUUUCGUAGGAACGCCGUCCUCUUUUAACUAAGCGGAUAUGCCGACCUGCAGUUUACCUUGAGGAAAUUAGAGUGCUCAAAGCAGGCAACCGCCUUGAAUAGUUUAGCAUGGAAUAAUCGAAUACGACUUCGGUCCUAUUUUGUUGGUUUCUAGAACCGAAGUAAUGAUUAAUAGGGACAGUUGGGGGUGAAGGUAUUUCGAUGUCAGAGGUGAAAUUCUUGGAUUUUCGGAAGACCAUCUAAUGCGAAAGCAUUUACCAAGGAUGUUUUCAUUAAUCAAGAACGAAAGUUGGAGGAUCGAAGACGAUCAGAUACCAU
rnacentral:rRNA from 1 species